GAUGAACGCUGGCGGCGUGCUUAACACAUGCAAGUCGAACGAAGUGGCGACCGGGUGAGUAAUACGUGGGUAAACUGCCCUCCUGUUUGGGAUAAGCUUUGGAAACGGGGUCUAAUACCGACUAAAGGGGGAUCGGCUCGCGGCCUAUCAGCUUGUUGGUGGUGUGAUGGCCUGCCAAGGCGGUGCCGGGUUGCUGGGCUGAGAGGGUGACCGGCAACAGAGGUACGGCGAGACGGCCCACAGUCCGACGGGGGGGAGAAGUUGGGGAUAUGGCAGAAAGGGCGAAAGACUGAUGCAGCGUCGACGCAGGGGGGAUGAAGGUUUUAGAGUUGUAAACCUCUUGCGCAAGCGAAUGGGUAGGCGGAGAAGAAGCGCCGGCUAACUACGUGCCAGCAGCCGCGGUAAUAC
rnacentral:rRNA from 1 species